rnacentral:rRNA from 1 species
CCUACGGGUGGCAGCAGUGAGGAAUAUUGGUCAAUGGACGAGAGUCUGAACCAGCCAAGUAGCGUGAAGGAUGACUGCCCUAUGGGUUGUAAACUUCUUUUAUAUGGGAAUAAAAUGUUCCACGUGUGGGAUUUUGUAUGUACCAUAUGAAUAAGGAUCGGCUAACUCCGUGCCAGCAGCCGCGGUAAUACGGAGGAUCCGAGCGUUAUCCGGAUUUAUUGGGUUUAAUGGGAGCGUAGGUGGAUUGUUAAGUCAGUUGUGAAAGUUUGCGGCUCAACCGUAAAAUUGCAGUUGAAACUGGCAGUCUUGAGUACAGUAGAGGUGGGUGGAAUUCGUGGUGUAGCGGUGAAAUGCUUAGAUAUCACGAAGAACUCCGAUUGCGAAGGCAGUUCACUGGACUGCAACUGACACUGAGGCUCGAAAGUGUGGGUAUCAAACAGGAUUAGAUACCCCAGUAGUC